GACGAACGCUGGCGGCGUGCUUAACACAUGCAAGUCGAACGGAAAGGCCCUGCUUGCCGGGUACUCGAGUGGCGAACGGGUGAGUAACACGUGGGUGAUCUGCCCUGCACUUCGGGAUAAGCCUGGGAAACUGGGUCUAAUACCGGAUAGGAGCCAUUUUUAGUGUGAUGGUUGGAAAGUUUUUUUCGGCGUAGGAUGAGCUCGCGGCCUAUCAGCUUGUUGGUGGGGUAAUGGCCUACCAAGGCGGCGACGGGUAGCCGGCCUGAGAGGGUGGACGGCCACAUUGGGACUGAGAUACGGCCCAGACUCCUACGGGAGGCAGCAGUGGGGAAUAUUGCACAAUGGGCGCAAGCCUGAUGCAGCGACGCCGCGUGGGGGAUGACGGCCUUCGGGUUGUAAACUCCUUUCGCUAGGGACGAAGCUUUUUGUGACGGUACCUAGAUAAGAAGCACCGGCUAACUACGUG
rnacentral:rRNA from 1 species